GUUGGGUAGGGGAGCGUUCUGUAAGCCUGCGAAGGUGACCUGUGAGGGUUGCUGGAGGUAUCAGAAGUGCGAAUGCUGACAUAAGUAACGAUAAAGCGGGUGAAAAGCCCGCUCGCCGGAAGACCAAGGGUUCCUGUCCAACGUUAAUCGGGGCAGGGUGAGUCGACCCCUAAGGCGAGGCCGAAAGGCGUAGUCGAUGGGAAACGGGUUAAUAUUCCCGUACUUGGUGUUACUGCGAAGGGGGGACGGAGAAGGCUAUGUUGGCCGGGCGACGGUUGUCCCGGUUUAAGCGUGUAGGUGUGUGUUCCAGGUAAAUCCGGUUCACUUUAACACUGAGGCGUGAUGACGAGGCACUACGGUGCUGAAGCAACAAAUGCCCUGCUUCCAGGAAAAGCCUCUAAGCAUCAGGUAACAUCAAAUCGUACCCCAAACCGACACAGGUGGUCAGGUAGAGAAUACCAAGGCGCUUGAGAGAACUCGGGUGAAGGAACUAGGCAAAAUGGUGCCGUAACUUCGGGAGAAGGCACGCUGACACGUAGGUGAAGUGAUUUACUCACGGAGCUGAAGUCAGUCGAAGAUACCAGCUGGCUGCAACUGUUUAUUAAAAACACAGCACUGUGCAAACACGAAAGUGGACGUAUACGGUGUGACGCCUGCCCGGUGCCGGAAGGUUAAUUGAUGGGGUCAGCGCAAGCGAAGCUCCUGAUCGAAGCCCCGGUAAACGGCGGCCGUAACUAUAACGGUCCUAAGGUAGCGAAAUUCCUUGUCGGGUAAGUUCCGACCUGCACGAAUGGCGUAAUGAUGGCCAGGCUGUCUCCACCCGAGACUCAGUGAAAUUGAACUCGCUGUGAAGAUGCAGUGUACCCGCGGCAAGACGGAAAGACCCCGUGAACCUUUACUAUAGCUUGACACUGAACAUUGAGCCUUGAUGUGUAGGAUAGGUGGGAGGCUUUGAAGUGUGGACGCCAGUCUGCAUGGAGCCGACCUUGAAAUACCACCCUUUAAUGUUUGAUGUUCUAACGUGGACCCGUUACCCGGGUUGCGGACAGUGUCUGGUGGGUAGUUUGACUGGGGCGGUCUCCUCCUAAAGAGUAACGGAGGAGCACGAAGGUUGGCUAAUCCUGGUCGGACAUCAGGAGGUUAGUGCAAUGGCAUAAGCCAGCUUGACUGCGAGCGUGACGGCGCGAGCAGGUGCGAAAGCAGGUCAUAGUGAUCCGGUGGUUCUGAAUGGAAGGGCCAUCGCUCAACGGAUAAAAGGUACUCCGGGGAUAACAGGCUGAUACCGCCCAAGAGUUCAUAUCGACGGCGGUGUUUGGCACCUCGAUGUCGGCUCAUCACAUCCUGGGGCUGAAGUAGGUCCCAAGGGUAUGGCUGUUCGCCAUUUAAAGUGGUACGCGAGCUGGGUUUAGAACGUCGUGAGACAGUUCGGUCCCUAUCUGCCGUGGGCGCUGGAGAACUGAGGGGGGCUGCUCCUAGUACGAGAGGACCGGAGUGGACGCAUCACUGGUGUUCGGGUUGUCAUGCCAAUGGCACUGCCCGGUAGCUAAAUGCGGAAGAGAUAAGUGCUGAAAGCAUCUAAGCACGAAACUUGCCCCGAGAUGAGUUCU
rnacentral:rRNA from 1 species